UGACCUCGUGAUCCGCCUGCCUCGGCCUCCCAAAGUGCUGGAAUUACAGGCAUGAGCCACCAUGCCCAGCCCAGCCCUUCUCAUUCUUAAAAACCAUUAGCUCUGGACUGGUUUCUCCCUCUUGCUCAUACCCGCAGCCUCCCCUGAGGUUCCUAUUCAUGCCCCCCAGUUCUGAUUUCUCUGCCCCCACCACCUUCCCCCACUCCCCUCCGUGUUACACCCACCCUGGGUCCCCAGGACCUGCCUAGGUCCUUCAUCUCUGUGGUCUUUCUCUGACACUGCAACACUUCAGUCAUUUACCCCAGGUUACCCUCUAAAACAAACCUUGCCCCGCUGGAACCUCUCGUUCAUUGGCCCCGGACAUUUUAACUUCCCCUGUCAACUCCCUCUUAGCUUAGUUGUUUGUUUAUGCUCUAAAAUUUAAAAGUCGGCCAACAAACUGUCCCCAUGCUGCCUUUACUGCCCCUCAAUGUUUCUGAGGUGAGUCAUCCCACAGGGAUGGCUGGUUUAAGUGAUGAUUUCAAGCAUCAGACAGGCUCUCGGCACUGCCUGGCUCUUUGAUUCCAUUUCCCUAGCGCAGCAGCCAGAGGACGGGCUGGAAACAGGUGGCUGCCCACCUUGGCAGAUGAAAAGUCCACUUCUGAAGAAAGGAGACACCGAAAGUGCCAUGAGCUUUACCACCGAAGAGUCCACACGAGCUCGCCCACACUCCCUCCUGACACAGUCUCCAGAAUUAUUCGGUGAACAAUCCAGUGCUUAUUAAAUCCUGCCAUUAUCAUGGAAAAAGACAACCUCGAAGGAAGCAGCUGCGCCUUUGCUUAAACGUUGGACUGCCAUAGGCCGUUGUUCUUGCUAGAGUCUGCCUGACGUCAUAUGCAUAAACUCCUAAAGGUUACAGGGACUGUAAGGACACCAUGUUAUAGUCUGAAUUCACUGUGAAAAUCUAGAUGAAGGGUGUGUGUGCUGCAGAUGAGGAUCUGAUCCUCCCUGAGCUUGCGUGAGGAGCUGUGCCUUACCUCUGACAUACGGCCCCACGCAGGCAACAUGACAGCAGCAGAGUCCUUGGGAAUCUGAGCCACUUCCUCCUGCAGUGCGUGUGUGCCUUCCAGAUCCUCUGGGGCCCAGUCUUGCAAAUGCAACAUACUUUUUAAUGGAAGAUCACUGAGCACAUCCGACGGGACGGUUAUGUGGAU
rnacentral:lncRNA from 1 species